UACGUAGGGUGCAAGCGUUAUCCGGAAUUAUUGGGCGUAAAGAGCUCGUAGGCGGUCUGUCGCGUCUGCUGUGAAAACUGGGGGCUCAACCCCCAGCCUGCAGUGGGUACGGGCAGGCUAGAGUUCGGUAGGGGAGACUGGAAUUCCUGGUGUAGCGGUGAAAUGCGCAGAUAUCAGGAGGAACACCGGUGGCGAAGGCGGGUCUCUGGGCAACAACUGACGCUGAGGAGCGAAAGCGUGGGGAGCGAACAGG
rnacentral:rRNA from 1 species